GGGGACACGUGUGGAGAGCACAAGCCGGAAAUGGAAAAGCCGGUGCAAGCGGGGUAGGAGAUGAAUAGGCAAAUCCGUUCAUCAAUCCGAAGACGUGAUGCGGACCGAAUUAAGAGUAGGGAAGUGUGUGAGCCAUGCGUCAAGAAAAGCCGCUAUUGUUUUACUUAAGCCCGUACCGUAAACCGACACAGGUGGAUGAGGAGAGAAUCCUAAGGCCGACGGGAGAAGCAUUGUUAAGGAACUCGGCAAAAUGACUCCGUAACUUCGGGAGAAGGAGUGCCAGCGAGAGCUGGCCGCAGAGAAUUGGCCCAAGCAACUGUUUAGCAGAAACACAGGUCUAUGCAAAACCGUAAGGUGAAGUAUAUGGGCUGACGCCUGCCCGGUGCUGGAAGGUUAAGAGGAGAGGUUAGCGGUAACGCGAAGCUUUGAAUCUAAGCCCCAGUAAACGGCGGCCGUAACAAUAACGGUCCUAAGGUAGCGAAAUUCCUUGUCGGGUAAGUUCCGACUCGCACGAAAGGCGUAAUGAUUUGGGCACUGUCUCAACAAUGCACCCGGUGAAAUUGAAAUACCAGUGAAGAUGCUGGUUACCUGCGCCAGGACGGAAAGACCCCAUGGAGCUUUACUCCAGCUUGAUACUGGGAUUCGGUAUUGCAUGUACAGGAUAGGUGGGAGGCUAGGAAGUGAUAACGCCAGUUGUCACGGAGCCGCUGUUGGGAUACCACCCUUGCAGUAUCGGAUUUCUAACCAGCGACCAUGAACUGGUCGGGGGACAAUGUCAGGUGGGGAGUUUGACUGGGGCGGUCGCCUCCGAAAGGGUAUCGGAGGCGCUCAAAGGUUCCCUCAGAAUGGACGGAAGCCAUUCGAAGAGUGUAAAGGCAGAAGGGAGCUUGACUGUGACACCGACGGGUGGAGCAGGUACGAAAGUAGGACUUAGUGAUCCGGUGGUAUAAAGUGGGAUUGCCAUCGCUCAACGGAUAAAAGCUACCCUGGGAUAACAGGCUUAUCACUCCCAAGAGUUCACAUCGACGGAGUGGUUUGGCACCUCGAUGUCGGCUCAUCGCAUCCUGGGGCUGAAGUAGGUCCCAAGGGUUGGGCUGUUCGCCCAUUAAAGCGGUACGCGAGCUGGGUUCAGAACGUCGUGAGACAGUUCGGUCCCUAUCCGGCGUGGGCGUAGGAUAUUUGAGAGGAGCUGUCCUUAGUACGAGAGGACCGGGAUGGACUGGCCGCUGGUGUAUCCGUUGCAUACCAAGUGCAUGGCAGAGUAGCCAAGCCGGGACGGGAUAAACGCUGAAGGCAUCUAAGCGUGAAGCCCCCCUCAAGAUGAGAUAUCCCUACGUAAGUAGUAAGACCCCUUGAAGACGACGAGGUAGAUAGGUCAGAGGUGGAAGUACAGUAAUGUAUGGAGCUGACUGAUACUAAUCGGUCGAGGGCAUGACCA
rnacentral:rRNA from 1 species